rnacentral:rRNA from 1 species
UACAGAGGGGGCGAGCGUUUAUUCGGAAUUAUUGGGCGUAAAGGGCGCGUAGGCGGCCUUUCAAGUGACGGGUGAAAUCCCUCGGCUUAACCGAGGAACUGCCUGUCAGACUGGAAGGCUUGAGACCGGGAGAGGUGAGUGGAAUUCCCAGUGUAGCGGUGAAAUGCGUAGAUAUUGGGAAGAACACCGGUGGCGAAGGCGGCGCUCUGGACCGAGACUGACGCUGAGGCGCGAAAGCGUGGGGAGCAACAGG